GGCCCCAUACCUCAGUGGUUAGAGCACUAGCCUAAUAAACUAGGAGUUGUGAGUUCAACUCUCACUGGGGCCU